rnacentral:rRNA from 1 species
GGCGAACGCUGGCGGCGUGCCUAAUACAUGCAAGUAGAACGCUGAAGGAGGAGCUUGCUUCUCUGGAUGAGUUGCGAACGGGUGAGUAACGCGUAGGUAACCUGCCUGGUAGCGGGGGAUAACUAUUGGAAACGAUAGCUAAUACCGCAUAAUAGUAGAUGUUGCAUGACAUUUGCUUAAAAGGUGCAAUUGCAUCACUACCAGAUGGACCUGCGUUGUAUUAGCUAGUUGGUGGGGUAACGGCUCACCAAGGCGACGAUACAUAGCCGACCUGAGAGGGUGAUCGGCCACACUGGGACUGAGACACGGCCCAGACUCCUACGGGAGGCAGCAGUAGGGAAUCUUCGGCAAUGGACGGAAGUCUGACCGAGCAACGCCGCGUGAGUGAAGAAGGGUGUCGGAUCGUAAAGCUCUGUUGUAAGAGAAGAACGAGUGUGAGAGUGGAAAGUUCACACUGUGACGGUAGCUUACCAGAAAGGGACGGCUAACUACGUG